UUUGGAAAAGUAUAAACCUAAGGCAUCACCUUUACAGAAAAUAUCUUCCACGGAAACAUCUAAAGGCCACAGAUCAGCCCUGGGGUUCAGAGGGAUCCUGACAGCUACUCCUCAAGAUCCUCUCUGUUGUGAUUCAUCCCCCCGGGGCCCUACAGUUUCUCCUUCCUGACUCUUACAUUUCUUUGGAUGGCAUCAUUAUUUACCUGUCUCCUCCCAUAGUUAGGUGCCAAGCACUGUGGAUUCUGCCUCUCAGUGUCCAGACACCCAUUUUCCUUCCCACUGUUCCUUCCCCAUGGAGAAGCCUGUGGCUGGCUGACAGCAGAGAGAGAUGCUCAACUUGGAGAAGGUGUUACCUGGGCCAGGUGGGGAAGGUUUGUUUGCAGAGCAAAGAAGUGAAGGAAGUAUUAACCCUUUGCAUGGCCUCCUGAGAAUCCGACAAGACGUAAAUAGCCAAGAAUAUCUGUGAAACUUCAUCACUGAGUUACAAUAUUUAUCACUGCAAGUGUGUUGUUCAUUGACACUAUAAAGCCAUGUGGAAUUAAGCAGCCUUGAAACACAAAAUGGAGAAAGGCUAAGAGCUGAGAAUUGUUGCCUUCAGGGAAAUACAAUCAAUGUCAAGCAAACAACCACCCCAAAAUGGUUAGCUUUAUCAGCAUUCAGGCCUACAGUGAACGCAAAUGUUCCAGAUCUGAGUUUCAAUUUUUAAAGAAUAAACAUAUGCAAAUGACCAUUAGUCUUAGUAGUUUUAGGGCUCAGAAUGAUCUUAUCUUGUUAACAUUCAGGGCAACUGCUUAUACCCAUUUGAAUGUCAUUUAGAGGGCUAGGAAAGACUGCUUCAACAUUUGAUGACUAAAUGGCAGGGCUCAGCCACAAUGCUCACUCCGAGAAAUGAGAAAUAGACACACCAGUAUGCUAGAUGCUGAUGCAGUUCAGGAAAUGCUACCCCAAAAUAUGGCCCCUCAGCAUACUGAGUAUUUUAAGCAGAAGGCAAUUAAGAAAACCACAAAAACAGAAAGGUCCCUCUGACCUUCUCCCACCCUCUCUCUCUUGAAGAUCCUCAUGUGACAGGUGACCUGCCAUAUAAUCAGAAGGAAGAAAUGUUACACAGAGAGGCUGAGAAGAAUCUGAGGACUUGCUAAGUUUUCCCCAGUUUAUUACCAUUAGAUCAUAUGCCUUUUUUGUUCAAUCAUACUUCUAUACAACUGUCCAUCAUUCAUUAAACCUAACCACAAAAGUAGUUUUCACUCGGUUUUUGAGUGAAGGCUCCUGUGUCACAUAAAACUUACAUUAAAUAAAUUUGUUCCACUUUUC